GAAUGCUGACAUAAGUAACGAUAAAGCGGGUGAAAAGCCCGCUCGCCGGAAGACCAAGGGUUCCUGUCCAACGUUAAUCGGGGCAGGGUGAGUCGACCCCUAAGGCGAGGCCGAAAGGCGUAGUCGAUGGGAAACGGGUUAAUAUUCCCGUACUUGGUGUUACUGCGAAGGGGGGACGGAGAAGGCUAUGUUGGCCGGGCGACGGUUGUCCCGGUUUAAGCGUGUAGGUGUGUGUUCCAGGUAAAUCCGGUUCACUUUAACACUGAGGCGUGAUGACGAGGCACUACGGUGCUGAAGCAACAAAUGCCCUGCUUCCAGGAAAAGCCUCUAAGCAUCAGGUAACACGAAAUCGUACCCCAAACCGACACAGGUGGUCAGGUAGAGAAUACCAAGGCGCUUGAGAGAACUCGGGUGAAGGAACUAGGCAAAAUGGUGCCGUAACUUCGGGAGAAGGCACGCUGACACGUAGGUGAAGUGAUUUACUCAUGGAGCUGAAGUCAGUCGAAGAUACCAGCUGGCUGCAACUGUUUAUUAAAAACACAGCACUGUGCAAACACGAAAGUGGACGUAUACGGUGUGACGCCUGCCCGGUGCCGGAAGGUUAAUUGAUGGGGUCAGCGCAAGCGAAGCUCCUGAUCGAAGCCCCGGUAAACGGCGGCCGUAACUAUAACGGUCCUAAGGUAGCGAAAUUCCUUGUCGGGUAAGUUCCGACCUGCACGAAUGGCGUAAUGAUGGCCAGGCUGUCUCCACCCGAGACUCAGUGAAAUUGAACUCGCUGUGAAGAUGCAGUGUACCCGCGGCAAGACGGAAAGACCCCGUGAACCUUUACUAUAGCUUGACACUGAACAUUGAGCCUUGAUGUGUAGGAUAGGUGGGAGGCUUUGAAGUGUGGACGCCAGUCUGCAUGGAGCCGACCUUGAAAUACCACCCUUUAAUGUUUGAUGUUCUAACGUGGACCCGUAAUCCGGGUUGCGGACAGUGUCUGGUGGGUAGUUUGACUGGGGCGGUCUCCUCCUAAAGAGUAACGGAGGAGCACGAAGGUUGGCUAAUCCUGGUCGGACAUCAGGAGGUUAGUGCAAUGGCAUAAGCCAGCUUGACUGCGAGCGUGACGGCGCGAGCAGGUGCGAAAGCAGGUCAUAGUGAUCCGGUGGUUCUGAAUGGAAGGGCCAUCGCUCAACGGAUAAAAGGUACUCCGGGGAUAACAGGCUGAUACCGCCCAAGAGUUCAUAUCGACGGCGGUGUUUGGCACCUCGAUGUCGGCUCAUCACAUCCUGGGGCUGAAGUAGGUCCCAAGGGUAUGGCUGUUCGCCAUUUAAAGUGGUACGCGAGCUGGGUUUAGAACGUCGUGAGACAGUUCGGUCCCUAUCUGCCGUGGGCGCUGGAGAACUGAGGGGGGCUGCUCCUAGUACGAGAGGACCGGAGUGGACGCAUCA
rnacentral:rRNA from 1 species